UACAAAAUGAUAAGUCCAGUUGGUAAGCCCAAAUAAGUAAAUAAUUGCAUAUUAGGUAAGCCCAAUUAAGUAAAUAAUAGCCCAAGAUUAAAUGAUAAUUGAUUUGGCCGGCAUAUCAAACGUGACUCCAAUUCUCCAAUAGUCAGAUCACACGAACGAAAGAACAGAUGCAACAUUGAACGAACAAUCGAACAUAACUGGAACUUUCGGCAGCAGCAGAUCAUUGAACGAACACUCGAACAGAGUAGGUCGACUGCAGCAGAUCAUUGAACGAACAGAGUAGGUCGACUCCAAAAACAAACGAACAGAAAAUACAAAAUCCGCACUUGAACUUCGGCAGGUUUGUUCGAUUUCGAACAGAAAAUACAGCAGCACAGUCGCACAGUAUUGGCAGGUUUGUUCGAUUCGAACAGAACUACGGAAGUCAGAAGAUCAUCUUAGAAUCGAAAUCGAAGUUCGAACAGCAGCGACAGAAACAAAAAUCAGUGCUACUUAGCAAAUCUAAUAGGUAAUUGUUUUACUUUAUCUAUUUAUGGUCGAUUUUUUAAUAUUGUAUGAUUACACGGUAAAAAAAAAAUUGGGAUGCCCCUGAGUUAAUGUUCUAGU